rnacentral:rRNA from 1 species
CCCAAGAGAUCGGGAUAACACCUGGAAACAGAUGCUAAUACCGGAUAACAACAGAUGAUGCCUAUCAACUGUUUAAAAGAUGGUUCUGCUAUCACUNUUUGGAUGGACCUGCGGUGCAUUAGCUAGUUGGUAGGGUAACGGCCUACCAAGGCGAUGAAUGCAUAGCCGAGUUGAGAGACUGAUCGGCCACAUUGGGACUGAGACACGGCCCAAACUCCUACGGGAGGCAGCAGCA